GGAGGGAUACCCGAGUGGUCAAAGGGAGCAGACUGUAAAUCUGCCGGCGCAGCCUUCGAAGGUUCGAAUCCUUCUCCCUCCACCA
rnacentral:tRNA from 1 species